GCGAUCGUUUGACGUUUGACAAUUGCAAGCGAAAAUUGUUAAUAUUCGUAAUUUUUUUUUUAAAUGAAAAUUUUGGUAGAAAUAUUUAAAUUAAAUUAAACGUCAAGCGUCAAAAACUUUAAAAAUGCACCAAAAGCAGUGCAUGAAUCAUUUGAAACAAUAACUCUUUCGUGAAUUUUUCGUUGGCGCUGAAAAGCGCCAUUUUGUUAAAUUGCAGCAGAAGUUGAUUCUUGUGGCCAUCUCCUCGAGCGUCCAUCCAAGUAGGCCUUGCUUUUCUCUUUCGACGUCGUUUUGGCAGCAAUUUCACGCACACGCUGGCUUAUUUCUUUUUCUCGGAACUUGCUCGUAUUUCCUCCAGUCGUUGUUUUUUCCGCUGCUGCUGCUACUGCUACGAUGUUGUCGAUUCGAACGAUGACGAUGGAAUGAAAAUCGUUGGCAAAAAUGCUGCCUUUACGACUCCACGGCAAAACAAAACAGCCAAUCAGAGAGCGGAAAGAUUUUUUGCGUGGGUCAAAGCACGCGCUUGCUUGUUCAAGGCCAACUGCGAUCGUUUGACGUUUGACAAUUGCAAGCGAAAAUUGUUAAUAUUCGUAAUUUUUUUUAAAUGAAAAUUUUGGGAGAAGUAUUUAAAUUAAAUUAAACGCCAAGCGUCAAAAACUUUAAAAAUGCACCAAAAGCAGUGCAUGAAUCAUUUGAAACAAUAACUCUUUCGUGAAUUUUUCAUUGGCGCUGAAAAGCGCCAUUUUGUUAAAUUGCAGCAGAAGUUGAUUCUUGUGGCCAUCUCCUCGAGCGUCCAUCCAAGUAGGCCUUGCUUUUCUCCUUCGACGUCGUUUUGGCAGCAAUUUCACGCACACGCUGGCGUGUUUCUUCUUCUCGGAGCUUGCUCUGGAUUUCCUCAAGUCGUUUUUUUUCCGCUGCUGCUGCUACUGCUACGAUGUUGUCGGUUCGAACGAUGACGAUGGAAUGAAAAUCGUUGGCAAAAAUGCUGCCUUUACGACUCCACGGCAAAACAAAACAGCCAAUCAGAAAGCGGAAAGAUUUUUUGCGUGGGUCAAAGCACGCGCUUGCUUGUUCAAGGCCAACUGCGAUCGUUUGACAUUUGACACUUGCAAGCGAAAAUUGUUAAUAUUCGUAAUUUUUUUUUUAAAUGAAAAUUUCGGGGGAAGUAUUUAAAUUAAAUUAAACGCCAAGCGUCAAAAGCUUUAAAAAUGCACCAAAAGCAGUGCAUGAAUCAUUUGAAACAAUAACUCUUUCGUGAAUUUUUCGUUGGCGCAUCCCCACCAGUGCAUCAAAAAGCGAAUGACGUAGGAAUGGGAUAACCGGCGCAAAAGGGCGGGACAUCCGUCUCCAUUUUAAGCCAAUAUAACCCCGCUCCGUCAACCCUGGGAAAUCAUUCUAUCGUUGGAUGGCCUGGAGGCCCAGAAGCAGUUGGCCGAAAAGCAGCUAGCCCGGAGCUAGGAGCAGACCAAGCGGAGGCAGGCCAGCCAGAAUAAUUGAGAGUCACCGGAAUAUUCUGGCCACAAGACCCGGAGUGGCCAGAUUCCUCAGGGGUGUUCCGAUGGAAUGCCAUCAAGACUGGACAACAUGGGUAUCAAACUUCUUGGAUUUUGAUACUGGUGAAGAAAAUGGUCAUUUUGACAGUAUUGCCUACAACCUGGAGUGGCCGGUGCCCUCAGGGAGGUUGUCCCGGGUGGACAUUUAACGAACUAAACGAUUUUGGGCAAUGUUGGUAUCAAAAUUCAUGCUUUUCAAUACUGGUAAUGCAAAUGACCAUUUUGACAGUAUUGGCCACAACCUGGAGUGGCCGGUGUCCUCAGGGAGAUUCUCCCGGGAGGACAUUUACUGAACCAUACUAUUUUGGGCAAUAUUGGUAUCAAAUUUCAUGGUUUUUGAUAUUGGUAAUGAAUAUGGCAAUUUAGAAAAAGUUGGCCAAAAGCUGCAGUGGCCGGUGCCCUAAAGGAAAGUUUUCCCGGAAAGACAUCUAUUGAAUCAACUCAUGGUUUACAAUAUUGGCCAUUUCGAAAAAGGUGGCAACAAUCUGGAAAGGCCGCUACCUCACGAUUGUUCCGAUUGGGGGACUAACAUCGAAUUAUAGAGAUAUCAUAGUUUUUUUUUUAUACGGAGCUUAAAGAGAAAUUGAGCGAACAUAUAAAUCCAAUAAUGUUUUGAUUUUAUCUGACGCAUAAUUCAACAAAAUGGCUUAAUUUUAAAAUCUUUUUUGCUUAGUUCUUUGUCAUACUGGUCAUGUGUAACAUAACCACCUGCACCUGUUUUCUUGUCAUCCUAAUAUUGUGGUGAUAUUUAUCGAGUGAGAACCACUGGCACCCAACUAGAAUCAAAACAAACCUGACCUCGAUAAAUAUCAACUGCCCACCUCGCUCUGUUCAAUGCGCACCGACGAUAUUGCCGAGGUCAGCGCAAAGGACUCUUCGAGUGAGCCCG